UACGGAGGGUGCAAGCGUUAUCCGGAUUCACUGGGCUUAAAGGGAGCGCAGGCGGACUGGUAAGUCAGUGGUGAAAGCCCUGGGCUCAACCCGGGAACUGCCAUUGAUACUAUCAGUCUUGAAUAUCGUUGAGGUUUGCGGAAUGGGUCAUGUAGCGGUGAAAUGCAUAGAUAUGACCCGGAACACCUAUUGCGAAGGCAGCAGGCUAAGCGAAGAUUGACGCUGAGGCUCGAAAGCGUGGGGAUCAAACAGG
rnacentral:rRNA from 1 species